CUCGGGGUCUUCCGGAGCCUCCGGUCGCGGGUCUAAGAGGACUAGGGCGGGAGCGGCGCGGAAGAAAGAGAGGACUGCGUUUUGGGGCGUUCUGUCAGAGGGGAAGGACGUGUGGAUUGGAGUCAGACUGCACUCCCGCCCUAUUUCUGCAAGUAGAACUCACUGCCUUUAGAAACGGUCUUCUGAGGCUCUGUUGGGAGGCUCUAACUGUAUUACAGAGGACACAUUUUUGUUUGUUUUUAUGUGAAACAUUCAGAAGUUGCUUGCAUCAAGUGCUUUACAAGUACACUGGUUUUCAAACUUUUAAAGUUGAGGAACUGUUUUGAUUUUUGUAAAAAUAGAACUUUACUUGGAAGCCCAAGGUCGCUUAGAAACUAGUACUCUCAGAACAUGGAGUGGAAGAGGUGAUCAUGGUAGCAACAGACUGAGGAGUGAAUUUGAACUUGAGUUUUGUCUUGCUGUUUUUCAUUGAUGGAACCCAACUGGAAAUCAGAAUACAAGGGCACUCGAUUAAUUCAGUUCACAGAGGACUUCUUCCUGUGGCACGGAGCAUGGUGGGGAAAGGUACAAAGUAGACCUCGAGAAACAAACAGCAUGGUGACCAGUCACAAAAUGUAUACAGAAAAUUAACAGAUUUUUUUUCCUUGAAGAGAUCAAAUCUAAAAAACAGUAUAAAAAUAAGAAUGUGCAGGAUCUAUAUAAAGAAAUCUAUACUCUACCAAGGUACCUGAAAAAAUACACAGAUAAAUGAAGGCUUAUGGCUUGAUUUUAGGUAUAAAAAGUUAAUGUUUAAAGACAUCCAUUUAUCCACCUGGAUAAACAUGGUCAUUAUUUUUUAAAUCAAAGUCCCAAGAGCUCCAUUUCACAACCUGAAACUAUUUAAAAUCAUGUUAGAAAAUUAAAUAGUAAGAAAAUACUAGAAAAAAUCAGAAGAAUGAGUAGAAUCAUAGAGCUACAAUAAUUAAAAUAGGAUGGUUUGGGGGGAAGAUCAGUAAGUUAGAUCAAUGAAAUUGCAUAGAAAAGCAAGAAAUUGAUUAUUAUAUUUCUAUGGGCACGUGAAAACUGUGGCAUUUCUAAUCACAGGGGAACUUAUAGAUUAUAAGAUAAAAGACAUUAAGCCUAUUGGAUAACUAGUUUAGAGAAAAGAAAAUUCAGUUACGAUCUGACCUCAAGAAAAAAAUGUAAAUAGAUUAAAUAUGUAUAUGUAAAAUCAAAAAAAUCAUGAAUAUAUAAAUAAAAUUCGAUAAGUGUUUCUAUAUUUCAGAUGUGGGUCUAUACGGUAAUUUUAUAAUAAAUCAAUUAAAAGAUAUACUAAAAUCAUUUUAACUGGGUGAAAACCAUUUUCACUCACUUAAUUUUUUAAAAUGGUGAAAUCCACUCAUAAACAGUAGCCAGAAAUCAAAGUCAGAAGGCUAAUAUGUAUUUAAAAAGCUAAAGGGUUAGCUUUAGGAGUGUCCAACCUAUGGAGUCACACAGGACCAUAGUUAAUAAUGGCCUCAUACUUGGUUUGAUAUUCUGCUGUCACAGUCUUGAAAUCCUUAACAAUUUUUGAACAAAGAGCCCUGGAUUUUCGUUUUGCACUCAGUCCUGCAAAUUAGGUAGCGAUCCUAGUUAACCUUCCCAUAUACUGAGUGAAAUACAAACUAAAACCUGAAUUUAAAAAUUGUUUUUAGGUUGAAAACAGUAAAAUAAAAACACUUAUUUUUUUUACUUGACAACAUCAAGAAUGCAGAAAAAGAAACACUCAUAUACCUUUAGUUCAACCAUUUGCAAAUACUCAGGAAUCAUAUAUCAAAAUUUAAAGUGAAUACUUUUUAUUGAGCAUUUUUUUCUACAGGAAUACAUCUACAGGAACUAAUUGAACCCAUACAUAAAAAUCAGGAUAUUUAUCACAGUAUUGCUAAUAAUAACAAAAAUAUGUGAACCAAUCUAAAUGUUCAUAAAAAUUGGUUAUAUAUUGAAGGAUACAUUUCUGUAGUUUCAUUUAUGCUUCAACCUUAAAUGUGAUAUAAAUAUACGUAUAAACACACACAUUUGAAAUGUAAAGAUGUACAGUAGAGUGAUAUGGAAAGAUACUCAUGAUUCAUUGUUACGUGGAAAGCCAACUAUGUAACAGCAAAGAUAGUGAAAUGCUACAGGUAGCUGUACAGAACUUUUUAUAUAUAGGUAUAAAAAUGUGUGAAAAGAAAAACAAAGAUAUUUUUAUCCAGAAUUACAGGAACUUUUAUUUUCUUGUUACAAUUUUAGAUAGCCUUCCUUUUAACAAUGGGCUUUUAUUUCUAUUAAAAUAGAAAAAUAAAUCAGCUUGAACUAAUAAGAACUGGGUCAUUUAUGGCUGUGAUCAUUUAAAUAUUUAUAUAAAUAAUUUCCAAAAAUAGUUAUUUUUUUUAUAAAACAAAGGAAUUAAUGUAAACAGUUUGGAAAGAAAAGUUAAAUAACUUUAAAAAGUUAUGUUGUUGCAAACAUGUCAAUUAUACAGCUAAAAAUUGGGGGGUGUAAGUAUAAGUAUACUAGUUUCCUAAUCUUAAAAAUCAGCAAUUACAUCUAUACUGCUUCAGCCCUGACACAGAUAGGUAGAAGAAUAUAGGUUUCAUUUUAUUUUUGCAAAGCAUAAAGGCAGUCAAAUUUACAAAGAUUUGGAGAAGCAUAGAAAAUAAUUUCAGAUGGUACAUGAUUAUGAGAUAGAAACGUGAGGUAGUAUGUCUUGAACUGGAGUGAAGAAUAGUACUUAAUGUGAAAAAUAAUAAUUUAUACAGAUUCAAAUUCAAUUAAAAAGGAAACCAUAUCACACUUAAUGAACUGCAGAAAAUUUUAGUCUUUCAUCUAAAAUGAGAACACACAGAAUGUAGCUGAAUCCAGACGAUGUAUUACAGUCAUUGAGUUAAUUCUCUAUGCUGAUUAAAAUAAAGACAUAAUCUCCCAUAAAUUGCUUCCUGAUAUUCCUUUAAGUUGUUUUACUCGAACGAGAUUUAAGAUGGAGAAAUAUAGCAGACAUCUAAAUGCAGGACCACCUGCAGGUUGAGUCUCAGAAGUCUGAUGAGUAGAGAUACUUUAGUCAGGUGUCUGAUGCAAAACAUCACAUUUCUAUCAUCAUUUUCAACUGGAAAGGGGCUUCUUGGAGGUAAUCUAGGACUGUAUGGUAGUCAGAAUGAAAAGUAACAUAAUACAAAUUUCAUCUGUAUAUUUGAACUAUUAAAAUUUACUUUAAAAAAUUAUUGGAUAUUUAGUCAUCUUGCCAAAAUCACUUAAAGUAUAUUAAGUUAUUUUAUGCACUCUUUGGAAACAUUUUUACCUAUGUAAUCAAAGUGGUAGAAUAAGAAACAUUAUAUAAAAAUUCAAAAGUUGAAUCCACUUUGUCUGUAUUCAUUAUAUUGACAGCUGGAUAAAAUAAAAUAAUUAAAGAACUUAUGCCUUUCAGAACAUUAACUAACAGUUUCUAACUGCUUCAGUUAUUCAAGAUAAGUUCUGGAUAUCUAUACAGCAUAGUGACCAUAGGUAGCAAUACUAUUUUAUUGUUAAAAUUUAUUAAGAUAGUAGGUCUUAUGUUAAUUCUUUCUAACACACAAACACACACAGAUUAAUAAAAAGGAAGUGGGAAGAAACUUUGGGAGGUGAUGGAUAUUUAUAACCUUGAAGAUGGUGAUGCAUCAUGGAUGUAUACUUACUGCUAAACUUAUGAAGUUGUAUAUGCUAAAUACGUACAGCGUUUUACAUGUCAAUCAUAUGUCAAUAAAGUGGUUUAAAACAAAAACAGAAACAAAUCUACAUUAAUUGUAAAUGCUUAUAAGUUAUCAAAAGCAAUACUGAAUUAACGAGUGGUGAUUUGUGAAAAAUGUUUUUUUUUAAUGAAGCUGACCCUAUACAUAGGUGGAUGCUUUAGUGACAAAAUUUGUUGAUGCUUGCGAAAACUUCAGACGAUAGGUGGCCAAAUGAAUAAAAAACAAAACUGCUGCUGAUUUUCUUUAGUGGGUUUCUGUAGAUCAUAAGCAUAAGGAGUAGCCGUUGUGUUUUUUAAAAAAUUCAGAUACUCAUACUGAAUGGGCAAAAGCUGGAACCAUUCCCCUUGAAAACAGGCACAAGACAAGGAUGCCCUCUCUCACCUCUCCUAUUCAGCAUAUUGGAAGUUCUGGCCAGUACAAUGAGGCAAGAGAAAGAAAUAAAGGGUAUUCAAAUAGGAAGGAGGAAGUCAAACUUUGUUUGCACAUGACAUGAUCCUGUAUCUAAAAAACCCUAUAACUCAGCCCCAAAGCUUCUUAAGGUGAUAAGCAACUUCAGCGAAGUCUCAGGAUACAAAAUCAAUGUCCAAAAAUUGCUAGCAUUUCUAUACACCAACAACAGUCAAGCAGAGAACCAAAUCAUGAAUAAACUCCCAUUCACAGCUGCCACAAAAAGAAUAAAAUACCUACGAAUACAGCUAACCAGGGAAGUGAAGGACCUUUUCAAGGAAAACUACAAACCACUGCUCAAAGAAAUCAGAGAUGACACAAAUGCAAAAACAUUCCAUGCUCGUAGAUAGGAAGAAUCAAUAUCGUGAAAAUGGCCAUAUUGCCCAAAGCAAUUUAUAGAUUUAAUGCUACUUCCAUUAAACUACCAUAGACAUUCUUCACAGAAUUAGAAAAGAACUAUUUUAAAAUAUGGAACCAGAAAGGUGCCAGAAUAGCCAAGACAAUCCUAAGCAAAAAGAAGAAAGCUGGAGGCAUCAUGCUGCCUGACUUCAAACUAUCUACAAGGCUACAUUACCCAAAACAGCAUAGUCCUGGUACAAGACUAGACACAUAGACCAAUGGAACAGAGUAGAGAACCCAGAAAUAAAACCAAACACCUACGACCAUCUGAUCUUUGACAAACCUGACAAAAACAAGAAAUGGGGAAAGGAUUCCCUAUUUAAUAAAUGGUGCUGGGAGAACUGGCUAGCAAUAUGCAAAAAAAAUGAAACUCGAACCCUUCCUUAUACCAUAUACAAAAAUCAACUCAAGAUGAAUUAAUGACUUAAAUGUAAAACCCAAAACUAUAAAAACCCUAGAAGAAAACCUAGGCAAUACCAUUCAGGACAUAGGCAUAAGCAAAGUUUUCAUGACAAAGAUCCAAAAAGCAAUUGCAACAAAAGCAAAAGUUGACAAAUGGGAUCUAAUUAAAGAGAUUCUGCACAGCAAAAUAAACUAGCACAGCAAAAUAAACUAUCAACAGAGUGAACAGACAAUGUACAGAAUGGGAGAAAAUUCUUGUAAUCUAUUCAUCUAACAAAGGUCUAACAUUCAACAUCUACAAGGAACUUAAAACAAAUUUACAAGAAAACAACAGACAAGCCCAUUGAAGAG
rnacentral:lncRNA from 10 species